UACACAUACAUACAAAUAUCUCUGAUACACACACACACACACACAAAACAGGCACACAAUCACACACGUACACAUACAGAGUCGAGAAGCCGGACGUGUCAACUCUCACGGGGCACCCAUCUUCUACUUUUCUUUUGAGUUUUCUCAUCCCUUAAUCGCGCUUUCGUACCUCACUGUGUUCAUCAUCGAUGAUCGGUGCCUAAUAAGAAAACGAGCAAAAACGGAGAGAUCGCUGAUUGCUGAGAGGAAGAGAGAUAAGAAUAGGAGGAAGAGAAAGAGUGAGGGGGGGAGGGAAGGGAGAGGGGCGAAAAGUCCGAAGGGCGCUUCGGAAAAUGCGCGUGGGGUGCGUCCGAUGCGGGGAAUGUGACACGUCCGCGCGCCCGCGCGCGCGAUAUGAAUGAAAAAUAAACAUAUAAAUUACACACGUAUGUAAGUAACUUUUAGAGUAUUUGAGUAAAAAAGAGGCAUACACAUAGUUGAUAGCGUUUUAUUAAAUGUUGUGAAAAAGUCUGUCUCGUCUGUCGUCUGAAUGUGCCGUCUCUUUCUAGUUUAUGCCGUCGGAGCGCGUUUGGCGCUGAAACGCGACGUUAAAACACCCCUCGCUUUCCCGUUUCGCAUUUUGAUAUGAAUUAAUUCACUGAUUAUCUCGACGGGAAAUUUUUUCACGAUUCGGGGAUUUAACUCAUGACCGUUAGGAAAUAAGGGACUUCGAUUGCGAUCCUCGAUUGCUCGAUAAGUCAAAUUUGAUAAAUUCAGAAUAAAUUUGAUAAUUAAAACCGCAUACAGCCACGCUCGGCGCCAAAAGCGCGACGACAAGGGUCGUGUCGCCGUGUCAUUUACUGUUGGAAAAUUCUGGCUUCGAGAAAAAGAAAGACAUCCCCUCGUCCUCUCUCCACAACCAUCUUGUUUGAUCGCUCAUAAGGUAGCCCUUCUGUUAUAUUUCAAUCUUUCACGUUGACCUCACGUUUAAGCGAAUUUGAGUUAUUAAAUUUUCUAACAGAAUAUCACCCUGUUAACAAUGACAUCCGUGUUUUCUCUCAAUUGUUCGUCGACUUAGAUCUAGAUUAUCAUAAUCAAUCUAAAAAAGUUGAAGCUCGCGAAGUAAAAGAAGCUACUUGAGAGACGGAUAAAAUCCGAGCACACCGAUUAUGAAAGAAGAGGCUGACUGCGACGGGUGGAAAAACACCGAAUUUACCGAUAGUCGCGAAACGUUACGCGAUUUCACGGGGCGACAGAGCCCGCGGGGGCUUUCAAGAUCGGUCCGAAGAUGGAAAUACCGUGACCGUCGCUCUGUUCUCUUCGGAAAGCAGGAGCAAAAGCGGCGAAGCGAUUCUAAACGCCGCGCAUCGAGUCUCUCUUUUCAUGGCCGUCGCUCAUGGAUCACGAACGUGAAACCUUGAAGAAGGCGAAGCAAGGCGGAGCUCUGCGAUCUGUGUGUACCAGACUGAUGAACCGGUAAGACACCGCUGCUAUUUGCGAGCAGACACUGCGGAUGCGAAAGUUUCAGGGACAAAAACGACGCGUACGAGAUUUUUGCAAAAUCGAUCUACCAAAUUUCGCGGACCCUCUUUCACUUCCAAGUUUUUUCACGUAGACGCGCGAUAUCCCAAAAAUUUCAGCUUCUCUUCUGCGAUUUACGUCGAGAAUUCAAACGGACAUCUGGAUUAUUUUAUUCUCAUCUUUCAUGUCGAACCAUCAUGAUAUUCACGAGCCGAAUUACAUUUUACUGACUUAAAGUCCACCUAAAAUUGCCCGAAGAACAGGACAGUCGUUUCUUCGAACGAUUUUAGAGUCUCAUUCUUCGAGAUUUCGCGCCACUUUGAAUCUCUCGACGCCUGUCUAAUCGAUUUGACGAUGUAGCGAAUCCGACUGAAAGUUUUGCAAAAAGUCUGUUCGAAAUCGUCCAACCCGAGUACUUCUCCCCCUCCCCCGGUUUUUACACCCUCCGGGCUUUCCUUCGAAUCCAGCGUCGCCUGACCCUUCGACUCGGCCACGACCUGCUGGUCGAUGCGGCCCUGGGUGUACUCGAGCGGACCCGGAGAAGCACCUCCGUCACAAAUGGCGGCACCGUCGUCUCCCCACCCAGGAUCGUCACGGUGGGAAAAACUGUACACCGGCACUCCGGUACGUCGCGCACACAGUCGCACACCGAGGUCCGACUCGCGAGAAGCACGAGCUGCCAAUUUCCCGGCUGGCGCGGCGCGGCGCUCACGCGCUCACGUCCCCGGUGCCCCACACCCCCCGGCCACGCCGCCGCCGUCGUUUUCCUUUCCUUUCGCGAGCCAAAGCGGGGACCGCUCCCCUGUCCCCGUUCCAUCCACGCUGGAGAACAAGCGCUCUCUCGCAGGGAACGGCACUCACUCACUCGCUCACUCCAGAGAAAGAGACAGAGAGAGGGAGAGAGAGAGAGAAGUCGCCGCCCGUCCGUCCGUCCGUCUGUCUGUCCGCGUUCGCGAGCGGUGCAACUCGAUAUAGCGACCGCUCGGCACGAAGAGCUAAGGUGUCGGAGUGCGAAGUUCGGAGCUUCGAGGUUCCUUCGGUAGCGUGAAGUGAGUGAGAAAACUCGUCGGGUGCUUCGGUGUGGAAAAGACAGGGACAGAGAGAGAGGGAGAAAGACGGAGGAGAAAAGAGAGAAAGAGAGGAGAAGGACGACGUGUUAAGGUGUCGUUGACGUUUCGUGUGUCAGUGUCCUCUCCCUGUCUCUCUCCAACUGACGGUUGCGGUGUUGCUCUCCAUCUCUCUCUUAUUCUCGCCCGCUCCGGCCUUCGUCGAGUGCCUGUGAGAGUGCGGUCGUCCAAGGCGUCCAAGGGGGCGCCCUCGGGAGGUACCCUAAGGGUUAUUCCGAGCGACUACCUCAUAGACGACGCCGUCCAACGACGGCACAUAUCCCUAAAUCCCUAUAUUUCCUCCCUCGACUGACACGGUGCGCGCAUAUCCCUAUAGCCCUUAGCAUAUCCGUGAGCCCUUACAGUCUCUCGUCCGGUCCAAUUUCGAUCGUCCUUUUCGCCGACACGCCGAACGCUGUAUCUUUAUAACCGUGAUCCGAACCUGACACUCGCUAUAGUCGCGACUAGAUCCUUUACUACGCGCCACGGUCUACCGUAUCAUAGUAAUUCCUGCAUUAUUCAUACUACGUUUACUAUAUCCGCACAGUCACGCUCGAUAUUACUGUCUCACAUCCCUUUUAGUCACUUCCUCUUCCUCCCUUCUCUACCUUCGUUCUUCCCUACCUCACUUCCGUAAUAUCGCGGUGAAAAACUCAAGGUGAUUACCUCAGAGAGAUCUAUGUUUAACUCUCCCUCAUAUUUCCCCCAAGACUACAAAAGCUUUACAGUCAUCCCUUCGAUCCGUCUUACGGUUUUUUCCUAUCUUUUUCACUUCUGCUCUGAUAUAUCUCGCCCAUUGUGAUCACCCGGUGCGCUCCAUCCCCCCAUUUUUCAUCCGAUUAUAAUCCCCCCUUCCCCCCUCCCCGUGGUCGUUAUUCUCUUCCUCUGCGCGUCUCCCUCCCUUUUCAUUUUCCCGACGCCCGGUAUCCCCCUUUGAGAGUGUCCGAGAGGAGCCGGAAGAAAGAAAAGAAGAGAGCAGACGGAAAGUACCCCUUCGGCGUCGCUCGGUGAAACGUCGUAGCGUUCCUCGGCAUCGUGGCGCGAUGCCGGAUGACAGGUGUCAGGAGCGGCCACCGGUAGAGUCCCACGGGGGUCCCGUCCGGCCGACGGGGCCCAGCGCAGAAUGACGAGCGCGGGCUCGCGCUGCUGCCGGAAGCACCGCGACCAGGAGGAGCGACGAGAACGACGACGACCGCGACGGAGAAGACGACGACGACGAGGACGAGCGAGCGAGCGAGCCCGGGUCCCUCUAGCGCGAGCGGGGGGCUAUGAGCGCUGACAAUGGGGACGACUCCUUGAGGAAGAAGUGUCGAAGCGCGCGACGCGCGUGCCGUGUAAUAUCGGAUCGGCACUUUCGCGAUUCCGAAACGUGCGAAAAUCGCGUCAGACGGAGAUGACGGAAGGACGGAGGGGCGGCGGACAAAGAGAAGCGGCGGGUAUCCGAAAGAGAAGAAGAAGGAGAUUCCUCUCGUUCCGUGCUGAAUUCAGAAUGGACAUCCGCCUUUCUCACGGCGAGGCAUCUCGUGGGAAGAUCGAUUCGAGCAGCAGGUAUACGUCUGACAUGACGGACGUUGUGUCGUGAAGACGAGCGAACGCGGGAUCAAGCGGCCGGCAAAUAAGGGAGAAGAAUAGACCUCAUCCACUUGUGUACACGCUCGCCACGAUAGAAAACUUAGCCUCGAUUCGGGCAUUAGGUUCACUUAAAGCGAUUAGCACGUUUUACACGUCUGAAGAAGGCCAAAAGAGAGAUACCCCGAUGCCAUGAUCGCGACAAUUAUUCGAUGACUUGAGCGACUCCCGUUGAAAUUCGCGCGAAUCCACUUAACGUCGCGGGGACGUGACUCGAGGCGGAGGAGUCGAUUGUAAAAUUCAUAUCGCCACGCGACCGUGUCGGCAAAAACGGUUCCCACCGUAAGUUUGUAUAUCGAAAGAUCAAAGAUUCUCGCGCAUAUAAUGAUGCUAAGAAGAAAUAUUUCGUUGCAUCAAUAUAUAAGAUGCUAAAUAUUUAUACACACAUAUAUAUAUUAAUUGAAACAAAUGUAUCAUGUGAGUAAAUGUCACACGCACAGAAUAUAUAUGAAGAA